UAUCCAGAUGGGUAAUCAGUAUAUUUAUAAAAAAAAAUGUUCUGUGUUAAUCAUUGUGGAUAAUGUUUCCUAGUUAAAACAAAAAGCCAUCAAUGGUUGCAGUCAAUAUACAAAUGUAUGUUAUCAAAGUAUCCAUUUUGUCGUUCAUUGUUCUUGAUAUAAUUUAAGCAUGAUAUAGUUCAAGAUAUUUAGUGGCCUUCAUUGAUUUACGGAUGUCUAGACUCAAUUUACUUUGGGAUGUUACUUCAAUGUAAAAUACAUUAAUGUAUUUAAUGCAUAAAAUGGCCUCAUAGGAAAGUUUCAGCAUGUAUUGACUAAGAUAAUAGACACUGUACAUACUGAUACCAUCAGCGAUUUAUAUGACAAUCAUCAUGCAGAUAUAUAUGACAACAUACAACAAAAUAACAAUGUACUAAUAUUUUUAUAUUGUCUAUAACCUAUAAAUGUCGUUGUCUCUAACAUAAUAUUAAAAAAAUGCAGUAUUAAAUUAAGUGAAAGUAAUUGGUUAUUUUUUUUGUAAAAAAAGUGGAAUUGGAGUUAUACAUUAUUUCCCGAAACUGGCAUAUAUUAUGUGAAUAUUUCUUAAAUGAUAGGGCGAAUUAAUACAACUUUCCUUCUAUCUGCUUUUCACAGUUUCGGCCAUGUGCUUAAAAAUAACAACAGACAUGGAACAGUAACAAAAACAUUGACGGUAAGAGAUACGAAAGGGCACGGCGAUAUGAAUUAGAACAUUAGGUUUCUGGUGGAAAGUUGUCUCAUUGGCAAUCAUACCACAUUUUCUUAUUUUUUAAAAAUAAACCAUAAAUACUA